rnacentral:rRNA from 1 species
UACGUAGGGGGCGAGCGUUGUCCGGAAUCAUUGGGCGUAAAGCGCGUGUAGGCGGCUCGGUAAGUCUGCUGUGAAAGUCCAGGGCUCAACCCUGGAAUGCCGGUGGAUACUGUCGAGCUUGAGUCCGGAAGAGGCGAGUGGAAUUCCUGGUGUAGCGGUGAAAUGCGCAGAUAUCAGGAGGAACACCAAUUGCGAAGGCAGCUCGCUGGGACGUGACUGACGCUGAGACGCGAAAGCGUGGGGAUCAAACAGG